rnacentral:rRNA from 1 species
GUGUCAGCAGCCGCGGUAAUACGGAGGGUGCGAGCGUUAUCCGGAAUUACUGGGUUUAAAGGGUGCGUAGGCGGCUUUGUAAGUCAGGAGUGAAAGUUUGCAGCUCAACUGUAAAAUUGCUUCUGAUACUGCAAGGCUGGAAUCAGGAUGAGGUCAGCGGAAUGUGGCAUGUAGCGGUGAAAUGCAUAGAUAUGCCAUAGAACACCAAUUGCGAAGGCAGCUGGCUAGACCUGUAUUGACGCUGAGGCACGAAAGCGUGGGGAGCGAACAGGAUUAGAAACCCGAGUAGUCC